CCUAUUUUCCACGGAGAGGCCUUCGGUUCCAGUUAGUUGGGCAGAAACGCGGAAGGCACAAGACAGUUGUGGAUGGUCAUUGCUAAGUCAUUUCCCUGCCACCUCCCACCCACCACCGAAUCUCAACUCCCCCCUGAGCCUGCCGUGACCCAGCCGCUCCUGACCCUGACGCAGGCCCUGUGGCAGUGACCCAGGCUGCUCCUGGGGGAGCACAACCUGUAGAGGAGUUGAAGGCGAUCUUCCGCUACCACGUUUUUUGGGCUGAAGACCCCGUGACAUCACUCUAUUGAUUCAACCGGAAAACCGUGACCAGGGAGAGAGGACACCUGGAGGGCCGAGGGGACAGAGAAAAGGGAGAAACACACCAGCCCAGCCAACCCUGUUGGCCACCCAGAGGCCAGGCUGGGUCACACCUGGAGGCAAGUCCCCAGCUCUGCACAGGGGCCAGUGGGAUGAGAGACCCAACAUAUCCAUCCGCUGGAAAGUUCAUUUAGUUACAAACAGAACGUCUGACCGACUCCUGCCCGGCCUUGCGGAUAUUCACAUGGCACGGAAGAUCACUCGUGGCCACACCAAGGUUAAAUGAGUGGAUGUGGGUCGACCAGCAAGACAGCGGCAGGUGGCGUGAACGGAACACUGUCCUCAGCCCUGACCCACUCAACGGGACCCCGGGAACUUGGAGUCAGGUGUGGCUGGCAUGUUCUCC